GACCUCGGAUCAGGUAGGAAUACCCGCUGAACUUAAGCAUAUCAAUAAGCGGAGGAAAAGAAACCAACAGGGAUUACCCUAGUAACGGCGAGUGAAGCGGUAACAGCUCAAAUUUGAAAUCUGACCUUCACGGGUCCGAGUUGUAAUUUGUAGAGGAUGUUUCGGAUAAGGCUUUGGUUUAAGUUUCUUGGAACAGAACGUCAUAGAGGGUGAGAGUCCCGUCUAGAACCGAUAGCCGCGUUCAUGUGAAACUCCUUCGACGAGUCGAGUUGUUUGGGAAUGCAGCUCAAAAUGGGUGGUAAAUUUCAUCUAAAGCUAAAUAUUGGCCAGAGACCGAUAGCGCACAAGUAGAGUGAUCGAAAGAUGAAAAGCACUUUGAAAAGAGAGUUAAACAGUAUGUGAAAUUGUUGAAAGGGAAGCGCUUGCAACCAG
rnacentral:rRNA from 1 species